CCUACGGGUGGCAGCAGUAAGGAAUAUUGGUCAAUGGGCGGAAGCCUGAACCAGCCAUGCCGCGUGGAGGACGACUGCCCUCUGUUGUAAACUCCUUUUACGGGGGACGCGGUACCCCGUGAAUAAACACCGGCUAACUCCGUGCCAGCAGCCGCGGUAAUACGGAGGGUGCGAGCGUUAUCCGGAUUCACUGGGUUUAAAGGGAGCGUAGGCGGGCAUGUAAGUCAGUGGUGAAAUCCCGGGGCUCAACCCCUGGACUGCCAUUGAUACUAUGUGCCUUGGAUGUUGUCGAGGUUUGCGGAAUACGUCAUGUAGCGGUGAAAUGCUUAGAUAUGACGUAGAACACCGAUUGCGAAGGCAGCAGCUAGCAAAUAUCGACGCUGAGGCUCGAAAGCGUGGGGAUCAAACAGGAUUAGAUACCCUUGUAGUC
rnacentral:rRNA from 1 species